rnacentral:pre_miRNA from 12 species
CGUUAUGCGACUAACUUCGUUCAGGUGAUGUUCAUGUACAAGAUCUCAUCACUGGGCAAAGUUUGUCGCAUAAA